rnacentral:rRNA from 1 species
UACGGAGGAUGCGAGCGUUAUCCGGAUUAUUGGGUUUAAAGGGUGCGCAGGCGGUCUGUUAAGUCAGCGGUCAAAGCCCGGGGCUCAACCCCGGCCCGCCGUUGAAACUGGCAGUCUCGAGUUGGAGAGAAGUAUGCGGAAUGCGCGGUGUAGCGGUGAAAUGCAUAGAUAUCGCGCAGGAACUCCGAUUGCGAAGGCAGCAUACCGGCGCCCAACUGACGCUCAGGCACGAAAGCGUGGGUAUCGAAC